AUUGAACGCUGGCGGCAUGCCUUACACAUGCAAGUCGAACGGUAACAGGUUAAGCUGACGAGUGGCGAACGGGUGAGUAAUGUAUCGGAACGUGCCCAGUCGUGGGGGAUAACUGCUCGAAAGAGCAGCUAAUACCGCAUACGACCUGAGGGUGAAAGCGGGGGAUCGCAAGAGCUCGCGCGAUUGCAGCGGCCGAUAUCAGAUUAGGUAGUUGGUGAGGUAAAGGCUCACCAAGCCGACGAUCUGUAGCUGGUCUGAGAGGACGACCAGCCACACUGGGACUGAGACACGGCCCAGACUCCUACGGGAGGCAGCAGUGGGGAAUUUUGGGCAAUGGACGCAAGUCUGACCCAGCCAUGCCGCGUGCAGGAUGAAGGCGUUAUGCGUUGUAAACUGCUUUUAUACAGGAAGAAACGACUCUUGCGAGAGGCAUUGACGGUACUGUAUGAAUAAGCACCGGCUAACUCCGUGCCAGCCGCCGCAGUAAUAC
rnacentral:rRNA from 1 species